GACGAACCGUGCGAACGUUAUUCGGAAUUACUGGGCGUAAAGCGUGCGUAGACGGUUAUUUAAGUCGGGUGUGAAAGCCCCGGGCUCAACCUGGGAAUUGCAUUCGAGACUGAAUAGCUAGGGUGCGGAAGAGGGAAGCGGAAUUUCCGGUGUAGCGGUGAAAUGCGUAGAUAUCGGAAGGAACACCAGUGGCGAAAGCGGCUUCCUGGUCCAGCACCGACGUUCAGGCACGAAAGCGUGGGGAGCAAACAGG
rnacentral:rRNA from 1 species